rnacentral:rRNA from 1 species
AACGUACGCUGGCGGCACGCCUUAUACAUGCAAGUCGAACGAAGUAGCAAUACUUAGUGGCAGACGGGUGAGUAACAUGUAGGUAUCUACCCUUUGGUGAGGAAUAACACGAGGAAACUUGUGCUAAUACCUCAUAAGUCUUUACGGAGAAAGCUUUAUGCGCCGAAGGAUGAGCCUGCACUUGAUUAGUUUGUUGGUGGGGUAAUGGCCUACCAAGACUUUGAUCUAUAGCUGAUCUGAGAGGAUGAUCAGCCACAUUGGGACUGAGACACGGCCCAAACUCCUACGGGAGGCAGCAGUAGGGAAUAUUGCACAAUGGAGGAAACUCUGAUGCAGCGAUGCCGCGUGAGUGAAGAAGGCCUUUGGGUUGUAAAGCUCUUUCGUCGGGGAAGAAAAUGACUGUACCCGAAUAAGAAGGUCCGGCUAACUUCGUGCCAGCAGCCGCGGUAAUACGAAGGGACCUAGCGUAGUUCGGAAUUACUGGGCUUAAAGAGUUCGUAGGUGGUUAAAAAAGUUGGUGGUGAAAUCCCAGAGCUUAACUCUGGAACUGCCAUUAAAACUUUUCAGCUAGAGUAUGAUAGAGGAAAGCAGAAUUUCUAGUGUAGAGGUGAAAUUCGUAGAUAUUAGAAAGAAUACCAAUUGCGAAGGCAGCUUUCUGGAUCAUUACUGACACUGAGGAACGAAAGCAUGGGUAGCGAAGAGGAUUAGAUACCCUCGUAGUCCAUGCCGUAAACGAUGUGUGUUAGACGUUGGAAAUUUAUUUUCAGUGUCGCAGUGAAAGCGAUAAACACACCGCCUGGGGAGUACGACCGCAAGGUUA